rnacentral:rRNA from 1 species
GUGGGUAGUUUGACUGGGGCGGUCUCCUCCCAAAGAGUAACGGAGGAGCACGAAGGUUGGCUAAUCCUGGUCGGACAUCAGGAGGUUAGUGCAAUGGCAUAAGCCAGCUUGACUGCGAGCGUGACGGCGCGAGCAGGUGCGAAAGCAGGUCAUAGUGAUCCGGUGGUUCUGAAUGGAAGGGCCAUCGCUCAACGGAUAAAAGGUACUCCGGGGAUAACAGGCUGAUACCGCCCAAGAGUUCAUAUCGACGGCGGUGUUUGGCACCUCGAUGUCGGCUCAUCACAUCCUGGGGCUGAAGUAGGUCCCAAGGGUAUGGCUGUUCGCCAUUUAAAGUGGUACGCGAGCUGGGUUUAGAACGUCGUGAGACAGUUCGGUCCCUAUCUGCCGUGGGCGCUGGAGAAUUGAGGGGGGCUGCUCCUAGUACGAGAGGACCGGAGUGGACGCAUCACUGGUGUUCGGGUUGUCAUGCCAAUGGCACUGCCCGGUAGCUAAAUGCGGAAGAGA